GGUGAGAUGGCCGAGCGGUCUAAGGCGCCAGAUUAAGGUCUUUCGAGCGAAUCGCUUGUAUACCUUCUGGUCAGAAAUGGCGUGGGUUCGAAUCCCACUCUCAUCA